UACGUAGGGCGCAAGCGUUGUCCGGAAUUAUUGGGCGUAAAGAGCUCGUAGGCGGUUUGUCGCGUCUGCUGUGAAAACCUAAGGCUCAACCUUGGGCUUGCAGUGGGUACGGGCAGACUAGAGUGCGGUAGGGGUGACUGGAAUUCCUGGUGUAGCGGUGGAAUGCGCAGAUAUCAGGAGGAACACCGAUGGCGAAGGCAGGUCACUGGGCCCGCAACUGACGC
rnacentral:rRNA from 1 species